rnacentral:rRNA from 1 species
UACGAAGGGGGCUAGCGUUGCUCGGAAUCACUGGGCGUAAAGCGCACGUAGGCGGUCUUUUAAGUCAGGGGUGAAAUCCUGGAGCUCAACUCCAGAACUGCCUUUGAUACUGAGAGACUUGAGUCCGGGAGAGGUGAGUGGAACUGCGAGUGUAGAGGUGAAAUUCGUAGAUAUUCGCAAGAACACCAGUGGCGAAGGCGGCUCACUGGCCCGGUACUGACGCUGAGGUGCGAAAGCGUGGGGAGCAAACAGG